rnacentral:rRNA from 1 species
UACGUAGGUGGCUAGCGUUGUCCGGAUUUACUGGGCGUAAAGAGCGCGCAGGCGGUCGUUCAAGUCGAGUGUGAAAGCCCCCGGCUCAACUGGGGAGGGUCACUCGAUACUGAUCGACUCGAAGGCAGGAGAGGGAAGCGGAAUUCCCGGUGUAGUGGUGAAAUGCGUAGAUAUCGGGAGGAACACCAGUGGCGAAGGCGGCUUCUGGCCUGCUCUUGACGCUGAGGCGCGAAAGCUAAGGGUAGCAAACGGGGAGUUAAGAA